rnacentral:misc_RNA from 1 species
AAGUAAGAGAUGGGUGUGAAAGCCCAAUCUAUCUGAACUUGUGGUAUUAUUGAUAAAACAUUUGGGCUUUAAAAUGGUAGGCAUCGUAAGAUGGUUUACCGGCCCAAAAAACUUUACAAACUCUUUUAUUAUUGACUGAAUAUCAAGUAAAUUAAUCCAUUUGGGUUAAAAAAAGUUUUAAA